AACGUAGGUACCGAGCGUUAUCCGGAUUUACUGGGCGUAAAGCGUGUUCAGGCGGCCUGGCAAGUCGGGCAUGAAAUCUCUCGGCUCAACCGAGAGAGGCUGUCCGAUACUGCUGGGCUUGAGGACGGUAGAGGGUGGUGGGAAUUCCGCGUGUAGUGGUGAAAUGCGUAGAUAUGCGGAGGAACACCAGUGGCGAAGGCGGCCACCUGGACCGUCCCUGACGCUCAAACACGAAAGCUAGGGUAGCGAACGGG
rnacentral:rRNA from 1 species